ensembl:lncRNA
GUUGUUUUUCAGGUUUUUCUGCAUCCGAGAAAUGAAAAUCGAAAGUCAAACUGACAAGUCAUACACAUGAAAACUGGGGUUGAGUUCUCAUUCAGGCUAACGUGGGGAAAGCAGUGAAAGCAGCGCGAGACGCCUUUACGGUUAAAAAAAAAGAAGAAAAAAAAGAAAGAAAGAAAGAAAGAAAGGAAGAGUGACGUGAGUGUAACGGAAGCAGUGCGGUUAUGUUCCUGUAGCAGCAAUAAACGUGGCUCUCGGUUCAAACGGAUACUGGUACUUAUCAUUAAUAGGCAAAAUGAAGCCCGUGACGGUAGAAAAUAAAUAAAUAAUAAUCGAGGGUAAGACUGAAUAUUGACCGCGUGUUAAGACAUGCGAAUUGUAGUUUUUUGGAGGAAUGUUUAUAUCUAGACUUUGAGCGCAUUAUAGUAUAACUUAUGUCCUAAAAUGAAUUACAUGCACAAAGCAUGUAUGUCGCGUGUGUUUUGUUUCAAGUCUCCUCGUUCAACGACUUAGACAUAUCUCCAAACAGAAAGCGAAAGUGUUUCUUGCCGAGCCAGGAAGGAAGCAGGCGCGCGCUCGAACGCGCACACACGCACGCACACACACACACGCACGCGCACACAGUGACGGUACGUGUGUGUAGUUCUUAAAAUGUGUAUACAGCCCUGGCAGGACAGUCAUACUCGGACAGUCUGGACGCAUUGGAUAUGCGCGCAUCCAUACUAACCUUCAUCUUCAUCAUCUCUGAAUAUUCCAUCAUCACUGGAGGAUAUGGUGAUCCAACACGGCCACUUCCAGUUGCAACCACAUUGAUCAGCACUUCUCAUUCACCUGUCACUCUGUCAUGGUUCAGUCCAACACCAAAGACACAUCCCACUACUACAGAACCAGAAAGCAUUUCCACAACAACUGGGAAAAUUGUCUUCACAACAACACACACAGCUUCCACAACAUCAUCGACGUCCUACCAAAGCUCUCAGAGGACCACAACAAUGGAGGAAACACCUCUGGCAACAUCCCUUACGGCUAGAAUUACAGCUUCAACCACAACUGAGAAAGAAAAUCUGACCACAGUAUCCUCAUAUACCCCUAGCAGCAUUUCAAGCAAUGCCACAAAGGGCAUCACUGCAGGGAGUAUAAUACUUGUCAUUAUUGCUGGCUUGGCAGCAGCCAUUCUUUUUUGGCGUAAACGUUCAAAGCUACGGAGCACUUCCCAUCCUAUAGAAAUGACGAUCCAGAAUCCUGACUCAGAUCAGCCCUUAAUAAUGGCCUCCCCUAUCACGAUCAGCUGUCCUCCAGACUCCGUCCAACCUCUAUUCACUCCUUUUGAAGACUCUCCUAAGGGCAUAUAUACAAAUGUUCCCCUGUCUGCCUAAAAUGCGGACCAGGGCAAGUUAUAUAGAAAUUAUUUCAUGUGUGGCCAACAGCGUUAUGAUCAAAAAAGCCAUGUGUACAAUAAAAAUGCAGUAUACAUUCUUGAAACAAUGAAAACUACAUGAAAAUGAAUGACAGGAUUUAAAAAAUUAUACUUCUGAGCAUCCUUCAGUGUAAUGGGCCGUUUUAUUCUAAUAUUUUCCAGCUCAUUUUGCUCAUUUCUGCACAGGUACAGUUUUAUUUGCUUUAUCUGUGUUGCAUGGCAUGUGUAUGUGCUCUCAGUAACUUGUCAGAGAUAUGUGUUCACUUAAAGUGCAGAAAUGGCCUUUAAUCUAAUGAAUUAUGGAACGUCAUUCAUAUUCAGGUAAUAUUUUGGUAUUUUAUAUUUUAUUUUAAGUUUUUUUGUGCAGUAAAUAUUGGAUACAGGUAGCUUUUUAUCUCGUUAAACAGGCAGUAAUGAUUUUUUUUAUUUAAAAAAAAAAUAUAUAUAUAUAUAUAUAUAUAUAUAUAUAUAUAUAUAUAUAUAUAUAUAUAUAUAUAUAUAUAUAUAUAUAUAGGGUUAUAUUGACCCUAUAUAAAUAUAUAAUAAAUGUGCUGUGGCAUUUAUUAUGCAGCUGUAAACAUUAACCAAUAUGAACAUUUUUGGUAAUAUUUUGGCUGUUCGACCUGAGGAGUUUAAUAAUUAGUCUUUGUGCCCUAGCAGACUGUUUGAUAUGGAAAAAAAAAAAAAAAGAAUAUGCAUUGAUGUGCUUGCUUUAAGUUUAUUUAUAUGCAUGGACCAUGGAGAAAUCGUUGUAAUAUUAUUCUUGUACAUAAUCAUAUAUUUUCAGAAAAAGCAUGAGCAAUCUUAUGAUUUCAAUGUUAAAUAAAAUCAUUACACCAUACAACGGAUGUGGCUGACUGCCCGACUCAUAUUUACUGAAAUUUUUUGUCUACAUGAUAAUGAAGAAGAUUCUGUGCCAGAGCAAAUUGUAACCAUAGCAGUGAAAAAUGUGUAAUGC